CGGCCUAUCAUAUACAGUCCAGUCCUAUGCCACGGCCCACGGUGAUCUCGAUCAAGAAACGCAAGAAACCCUAAAAACUCGUCCCCAUUCCACCACCACCACAUCUUUUCUUCGAGCGGCAACAAUGGCAUCCGGUGAAGAAGGCAGGAUGAGCAUCUCCCGAUGGUCCGGACUUCUACCUGACGAACUCUUGGACCUCAUCGUCAAGAAGCUCACCCGUGCCUCCGACUACCUCCGCUUCCGCUGCGUCUGCAAGUCCUGGCGCUCCGUCGCCAAACCCACCAAUCUCCCCCUCACCUCCCUAUCCUCAUGCUCCCCUACCACCCCUCCACCGAACGCCGUUCCGUUCUCAGCGUCUCCACCCGGCAGAUCCGCACUCUCUCCAUACCCAAACUCGUCAACAAAGUAAUCCUCGCCGCCUCGCGCGGUUGGCUCCUCCUUCUCGACGUCGCCCCCGCGGACGGACGUCUUUUCUUGCUGAACCCGCUCAUCGGAGCCGAAAUCCAGCUCCCUCCCACCGAUGGUUUCGUCCACCGGCGCGGCUACGAAUUCUCUCCGGUCCAUCAGAAGUUUCUGAGUGUGAGGCUCCGCAUCGGGCAUGGCAUAGACUCCACCUUGGAUAUCCUCCAGUACUCGCGCAUUUUCCCGUGACGCGCUUUCUUGCUUUCGAGCCCGAACACGGCCCGGACGGAUUGCAUGGUGGUGAUCGCCGAGUGCUAUCGUGGCGACCAUGCUGUCGCCUUCUAUAAAUUGGGAGAUGAAUCAUGGACUCUGAUGAAUACCGGUUUAUUCAGCUUGCCCGUCUCUGUGGUGCACCAUGUGGGGAGCCUCUAUACGUCUGACUUGGAUGCAAUGCUUCAGUUUGUGAAAUUGCUUCCCCUUUGAACCCUGAGACGAUCGCUUUGCACACCGGGGACAAUGGCCCUCUAUUUUUUGUCACAACGUCUUCACAGCUGUUUUUGUUUGCCCGUUGCAAUGCAGACGCUGUCUCUGUUGAUUCUGAUGAUGAGGAUGACGAUGAUGAAGAAGAAAAUGUCAAGAGACGUUAUGCCAUAUUUGAGUUGAUGCCCGGGAACCCACCCGGAUGGUCUGUCGUGGAAAGCAUUCAUGACAAUGUAGUGUUCAGAUCAUGGAAUCUAUACCAGAACCUCAUUGUUUGUACUAGGGAUAUUCCUGGAUGCCAAGAGGACUGCAUAUACUUUUGUGAGCCCGUUGAUCUUUCAUAUGAACGAGUUGAUAGUGAUGCUCAUGAAAUAGAUGUGCUCAAUUUCAAGACUGACUACUAUAAGCAUUUAUCGUUUGGUUGGAGGGAACCGAACUCCGAAAAGUUGCUGCGUCCUCUUUGGGUUGAGCUCAGUCUCUGCAAAAUGCUGGAAUAAAGUCCAGUUCAGGAAACCUCAAAAUCUUGUACUUGAACCUGGGUGUGACAAACUAACUCAGCAGAUUAUGACUGAAGUUGGGGGAAAGGUUUGGUGAAGUGAAACAGGUUAUACAUUUUCUUUGUAGCGCAAAAUAAAUAUUCGUCCUCACUUGUUUCUCGAGUAUAAAGCUCCUUUAUUUGACUAAUACAAGAGAUGUUACAUAAUUGUAAGGUUCUCUUCAUUGACGCUCCGGUUUCUUGGACAUCCAUCAGUUGUAACUAGCUCUUCUUGCUCAUUUUUUCAGGACUUCAAUGUACACACUUCCUGUAACUUUACCUGACAGCAGAGAAUACAGUAAAAAAGAAAAAAUAUUGUAUCCUCAAUGAUAUCAUCUAUGGUUUUGAGCUGCAUUAUAAGUGGUCCUUUUCAUCUAAAUUUUUACCAUUAAUUAAUUAUGCUAUUCAUAUCA